GAAGAUAUUUAUGUUCUUAUUGGAUAUUUCGCUUUUCCAUCAAACGAAUCCUAUUCGUGCUUGGCCCCCCCCUCCCCGCCGCGACAAAUUGGUUAGCGACACGGAACUUGUUGCGUAGAGGGUUAGUCUAAUGUUUACAAUCGUGGUGUUUAAGUGUAUUAUUGCGUGAUAUUAACUAGUGCAAUACUUUCAUCGCCAUUGUUUCACUAUUCAUAGCCACGCUACUAUCAAUCUUCCUUCAAUUAGCAACAUUAGAAGAUUGAUUUCGAAGUAUCGGGGAGACGUCAUGACAGGACGAAAGGAUGCCGCCAAAUUUAAAAAGGACGCCAUGUUGAAAACUUUUCAUGAAGAAAGCACCGGCUCUUUUUUCGUCGCGAUCCUCGAUGGAUAUCUAGAGGAAAUGUUGCAUUGCGAGGCGAGAGAGCUCACGCGAGAAGCGGAGGCAAUAAUCGCCUAAUCGCGACUUGCCGAGGGGGAAAUCGUGAAGGAGCGGAGGAUGGUUACGCGAAGAAGUUUAGCGGAGAACGUUUCGAUGGAUUGUGGACUCGAUCGUGGAGCAUCGGGAAGUUGGCUUCCUUUUCGAGAAAAGGAGCACACAGUGAAAUCGAGAAGCGUUUUCUCAGAGACGAAGUUGCGAGCAAGUCGAAGUUGCAAGGACUCGCGAGAAAUCCAAGAGUUGGAUGUAAAUGGAAUGGUUCGAAGUUUGUACGCUAGUACGUGAUUAUUAGUUUUCGUCUACGUAUGUAUAUUCGAUUAUUUUGAUAGCAAGGCGAGAGGGCUGACGAGAGAUCAGAAAAUUAGAUGUGGAUGGUUAAUAUUGAAAGUAUGUGAGUUUAUCGGUGUAUUUAUAUUUAGACGUGUAUUUUAUAUUCUAUGUUGUCCAAAUAAUAAUUCGACUAUUUUGGUAGUAAAGUGAAAGGACUAAGGGAAA